GAAAUGCGAUAAGUAAUGUGAAUUGCAGAAUUCAGUGAAUCAUCGAAUCUUUGAACGCACAUUGCGCCCGCCAGUAUUCCGGGGGGCAUGCCUGUUCGAGCGUCAUUACAACCCUCAAGCUCUGCUUGGUAUUGGGCUCUGCCGGUCCCGGCAGGCCUUAAAAUCAGUGGCGGUGCCAUCCGGCUUCAAGCGUAGUAAUUCUUCUCGCUUUGGAGGCCCGGGUGCGUGCUUGCCAGCGACCCCCAAUUUUCUCAGGUUGACCUCGGAUCAGGUAGGGAUACCCGCUGAACUUAA
rnacentral:misc_RNA from 1 species